UGGGGAAUUUUGGACAAUGGGCGAAAGCCUGAUCCAGCAAUGCCGCGUGUGUGAAGAAGGCCUUCGGGUUGUAAAGCACUUUUGUCCGGAAAGAAAUCCUUGGCUCUAAUACAGUCGGGGGAUGACGGUACCGGAAGAAUAAGCACCGGCUAACUACGUGCCAGCAGCCGCGGUAAUACGUAGGGUGCAAGCGUUAAUCGGAAUUACUGGGCGUAAAGCGUGCGCAGGCGGUUUGCUAAGACCGAUGUGAAAUCCCCGGGCUCAACCUGGGAACUGCAUUGGUGACUGGCAGGCUAGAGUAUGGCAGAGGGGGGUAGAAUUCCGCGUGUAGCAGUGAAAUGCGUAGAGAUGUGGAGGAAUACCGAUGGCGAAGGCAGCCCCCUGGGCCAAUACUGACGCUCAUGCACGAAAGCGUGGGGAGCAAACAGGAUUAGAUACCCUGGUAGUCCACGCCCUAAAACGAUGUCAACUAGUUGUUGGGGAUUCAUUUCCUUAGUAACGUAGCUAACGCGUGAAGUUGACCGCCUGGGGAGUACGGUCGCAAGAUUAAAACUCAAAUGAAUUGACGGGGUCAUAGCUGUUUCCU
rnacentral:rRNA from 1 species